rnacentral:rRNA from 1 species
CCUACGGGAGGCUGCAGUGAGGAAUAUUGGUCAAUGGACGAGAGUCUGAACCAGCCAAGUAGCGUGAAGGAUGACUGCCCUAUGGGUUGUAAACUUCUUUUAUAUGGGAAUAAAAUGUUCCACGUGUGGGAUUUUGUAUGUACCAUAUGAAUAAGGAUCGGCUAACUCCUUGCCAGCAGCCGCGGUAAUACGGAGGAUCCGAGCGUUAUCCGGAUUUAUUGGGUUUAAAGGGAGCGUAGGUGGAUUGUUAAGUCAGUUGUGAAAGUUUGCGGCUCAACCGUAAAAUUGCAGUUGAAACUGGCAGUCUUGAGUACAGUAGAGGUGGGCGGAAUUCGUGGUGUAGCGGUGAAAGGCUUAGAUAUCACGAAGAACUCCGAUUGCGAAGGCAGCUCACUGGACUGCAACUGACACUGAGGCUCGAAAGUGUGGGUAUCAAACAGGAUUAGAUACCCUGGUAGUC